CACUGGACUGAGACACGGUCCAGACUCCUACGGGAGGCAGCAGUGGGGAAUAUUGCACAAUGGGCGCAAGCCUGAUGCAGCCAUGCCGCGUGUGUGAAGAAGGCCUUCGGGUUGUAAAGCACUUUCAGUCGUGAGGAAGGUAGUGUAGUUAAUAGCUGCAUUAUUUGACGUUAGCGACAGAAGAAGCACCGGCUAACUCCGUGCCAGCAGCCGCGGUAAUACGGAGGGUGCGAGCGUUAAUCGGAAUUACUGGGCGUAAAGCGCAUGCAGGUGGUUUGUUAAGUCAGAUGUGAAAGCCCGGGGCUCAACCUCGGAAUUGCAUUUGAAACUGGCAGACUAGAGUACUGUAGAGGGGGGUAGAAUUUCAGGUGUAGCGGUGAAAUGCGUAGAGAUCUGAAGGAAUACCGGUGGCGAAGGCGGCCCCCUGGACAGAUACUGACACUCAGAUGCGAAAGCGUGGGGAGCAAACAGGAUUAGAUACCCUGGUAGUCCACGCCGUAAACGAUGUCUACUUGGAGGUUGUGGCCUUGAGCCGUGGCUUUCGGAGCUAACGCGUUAAGUAGACCGCCUGGGGAGUACGGUCGCAAGAUUAAAACUCAAAUGAAUUGACGGGGGCCCGCACAAGCGGUGGAGCAUGUGGUUUAAUUCGAUGC
rnacentral:rRNA from 1 species